ensembl:processed_transcript
AUAUCCAUCCUAAUCUAAGAGAAAUUGAUGGGGUCAGGGAAUGAUUUGUGUACAAAUGUAUUUUAACCCCAUACAGAUUGGUAUGGUUGUACCAUAGAUUUAGAUUAAUUAAUGUUAAGUCUUAUUUUACUCUUAUUAUAUUUAUCUGUUUUUUAGCUACAGUAAUUGAUGUUGAAAAACUGAUGCAACCAAUCACUCCUCACUUGAUUAUUCAAGGUAAUAAAAAAAAAAACAUCUGGUGUUAAAACAGCCACGGCUAUGCUAUUUGCCUACCAAGUGCUGACCCAGAUUGUGAUGGACCUGGAAUGCGACACCAGUUACUCUUAAGACAAGAACCGAAUAAAGCACAGAUGUGGAGGUAUUUGCAGCCAAACUAACUGGAGGGAAGGAACCUUUAG